rnacentral:tRNA from 1 species
UCCCUGGCGAUCCAGUGGUUAGGACUCAGCACUCUCAGUGCUGAGGGCCCAGGUUCAAUCCUCGGUUGGGGAA